GUGGGGAAUCUUGCGCAAUGGGCGAAAGCCUGACGCAGCCAUGCCGCGUGAAUGAUGAAGGUCUUAGGAUUGUAAAAUUCUUUCACCGGGGACGAUAAUGACGGUACCCGGAGAAGAAGCCCCGGCUAACUUCGUGCCAGCAGCCGCGGUAAUACGAAGGGGGCUAGCGUUGCUCGGAAUUACUGGGCGUAAAGGGCGCGUAGGCGGACAGUUUAGUCAGAGGUGAAAGCCCAGGGCUCAACCUUGGAAUUGCCUUUGAUACUGGCUGUCUUGAGUUUGGGAGAGGUGAGUGGAACUCCGAGUGUAGAGGUGAAAUUCGUAGAUAUUCGGAAGAACACCAGUGGCGAAGGCAACUCACUGGCCCAAUACUGACGCUGAGGCGCGAAAGCGUGGGGAGCAAACAGGAUUAGAAACCCGAGUAGUCC
rnacentral:rRNA from 1 species